rnacentral:rRNA from 1 species
GACGGACGCUGGCGGCGUGCUUAACACAUGCAAGUCGAACGGAAAGGCCCUGCUUUUGUGGGGUGCUCGAGUGGCGAACGGGUGAGUAACACGCGAGUAACCUGCCCUUGACUUUGGGAUAACUUCAGGAAACUGGGGCUAAUACCGGAUAGGAGCUCCUGCUGCAUGGUGGGGGUUGGAAAGUUUCGGCGGUUGGGGAUGGACUCGCGGCUUAUCAGCUUGUUGGUGGGGUAGUGGCUUACCAAGGCUUUGACGGGUAGCCGGCCUGAGAGGGUGACCGGCCACAUUGGGACUGAGAUACGGCCCAGACUCCUACGGGAGGCAGCAGUGGGGAAUAUUGCACAAUGGGCGGAAGCCUGAUGCAGCAACGCCGCGUGCGGGAUGACGGCCUUCGGGUUGUAAACCGCUUUCGCCUGUGACGAAGCGUGAGUGACGGUAAUGGGUAAAGAAGCACCGGCUAACUACGUG